UCUCGUAUAUUGGUAGCACGUGGUGUUU
rnacentral:sRNA from 1 species